rnacentral:rRNA from 1 species
CGGGCUAAACCCGCGUACAUGCCCCCGGGGCAUCCCGGAGGCAGGAAAGGCUUCGGCCGGACAGGGAUGGGCGUGCGGCGCAUUAGGCAGUAGGCGGGGUAACGGCCCACCUAACCGACGAUGCGUAGGGGUUCUGAGAGGAAGGUCCCCCACACUGGUACUGAGACACGGACCAGACUCCUACGGGAGGCAGCAGUGAGGAAUAUUGGUCAAUGGUCGGGAGACUGAACCAGCCAAGCCGCGUGAGGGAGGAAGGUACAGAGUAUCGUAAACCUCUUUUGUCAGGGAACAAAGACUGGGAGCGUCCCCGGAUGAGUGUACCUGAAGAAAAAGCAUCGGCUAACUCCGUGCCAGCAGCCGCGGUAAUACGGAGGAUGCGAGCGUUAUCCGGAUUUAUUGGGUUUAAAGGGUGCGCAGGCGGUCUGUUAAGUCAGCGGUCAAAGCCCGGGGCUCAACCCCGGCCCGCCGUUGAAACUGGCAGUCUCGAGUUGGAGAGAAGUAUGCGGAAUGCGCGGUGUAGCGGUGAAAUGCAUAGAUAUCGCGCAGAACUCCGAUUGCGAAGGCAGCAUGCCGGCUCCACACUGACGCUGAGGCACGAAAGCGUGGGUAUCGAACAGGAUUAGAUACCCUGGUAGUCCACGCAGUAAACGA